UGUCGUAAUAUAUUGUGCAUUUUUAAUAACGAAGACCACCAACAAUGUUGCUGUUCAACACUUUAUUUAUGGAGCUCAAUAUUUCACGCACUCGACGGUACCAAAAAAUAAUCAUACUUGAAUUAUUAUAAAUCCGAAACCGAAACUGACGUAUCAAAGGCCCUCCUCGAACAAACUUACGGUGCUUUAGAUUACUUAUUAUCAUAAUUUAUUUUUUGUAAAAUAUC